rnacentral:tRNA from 2 species
GGACCGGUAGUUCAGUUGGUUAGAAUACCGGCCUGUCACGCCGGGGGGCGCGGGUUCGAGUCCCGUCCGGUCCGCCA